rnacentral:rRNA from 1 species
UUUUUAUUAAAGAUUAAGUUAAUUAAUUUAAUUUUUAAUUUUGUUGGGGUGAUAAAAAAAUUUAAAAAACUUUUUUUGAUUUUAUCAUUUAUAUGUGAUUUUAUAUUAAACAUUAAUUUAAUAAUUUAGAUUAAAA